CCCUAACAGCAACUGCUUAUCUGUUGUGUAAAGGAUACAGGCAGCUCUCCCAGUGGCCUUAAGUGUUAUGCGAAAAUCUUUACCUUUUCACCUCAAAGGAGGAGCCCUAAGGAGAGCAAGAAGCUAAGGAAGGAGACCAAGGGAUCUUUGGAAUAGAGCCAGCCUAUUCAUGCAAACCUUACAUAUUUAACAUACAGCGGGCAGAGCUUGGACUGUCGUCCCAGCAUUUACAGCAAUGAGCAGGGCAGCAUUAGAGGCGGGACGGGGCAGAGAGGGAGGCAGAUUAAUCUCAACACCUGCCUUUUGACAACAUCAAUCCGGGGAAGGCCCACCCGGAGGUGCGGCUGACAAAGAUUGGCAGUGGUAGACGGAGCAUGUCCUGUUAGUCCUCCAGAGCAUUCUGUGACAGGUCCAGUCUGGUCAGAGAGCGGAGUGUAGUAAUAACAGAGCGGAGAUCAUCACAGCAGGAGGAGGUCAGACCACAGUCAUAUAACCUGAUGAGAGAUGAGAGAUCUGUAUUAGUUUGUGUCUUAGCAUUUUCUGCUUCAGACUCAUUGUGAAUUUAUAAAUGAAGUACCUGUAAUAAAAAUCUGUUAAGUAGUGACA